GCUUUGGUGGCCAAGUGGUAAGGCGUCGCACUCGUAAUGCGAAGAUCGGGGGUUCGAUUCCCCUCCGAAGCA
rfam:Cordyceps confragosa RCEF 1005 scaffold_4, whole genome shotgun sequence.